rnacentral:rRNA from 1 species
UACGGAGGGGGCUAGCGUUGUUCGGAAUUACUGGGCGUAAAGCGCACGUAGGCGGUUUGUUGCGUCGGCUGUGAAAUCCCGAGGCUCAACCUCGGGUCUGCAGUCGAUACGAGCAAACUAGAGUGUUGCAGGGGAGACUGGAAUUCCUGGUGUAGCGGUGAAAUGCGCAGAUAUCAGGAGGAACACCGGUGGCGAAGGCGGGUCUCUGGGCAACAACUGACGCUGAGGAGCGAAAGCGUGGGGAGCGAACAGG